rnacentral:rRNA from 1 species
CAGACCUCUAAUCGGAAAAGACUACCCGCUGAGUUUAAGCAUAUCACUAAGCGGAGGAGAAGAAACUAACCAGGAUUUCCCUAGUAUGCGGCGAGCGAAUCGGAAAGA